rnacentral:rRNA from 1 species
AGAGCGAACGCUGGCGGCAGGCCUAACACAUGCAAGUCGAGCGCCCGUAGCAAUACGGGAGCGGCAGACGGGAUAGUAACACGUGGGAACGCGCCCUUCGGUUCGGAAUAACUCAGGGAAACUUGAGCUAAUACCGAAUACGCCCUUACGGGGAAAGAUUUAUUGCCGAAGGAACGGCCCGCGUCCGAUUAGCUAGUUGGUGAGGUAAUGGCUCACCAAGGCUACGAUCGGUAGCUGGUCUGAGAGGAUGACCAGCAUCACUGGGACUGAGACACGGCCCAGACUCCUACGGGAGGCAGCAGUGGGGAAUAUGGACAAUGGGCGCAAGCCUGAUCCAGCCAUGCCGCGUGGAUGAUGAAGGCCUUAGGGUUGUAAAGUCCUUUUAACGGGGAAGAUAAUGACGGUACCCGUAGAAUAAGCCCCGGCUAACUUCGUGCCAGCAGCCGC